rnacentral:rRNA from 1 species
AUUGAACGCUGGCGGCAGGCCUAACACAUGCAAGUCGAACGGUAACAGGAAGCAGCUUGCUGCUUCGCUGACGAGUGGCGGACGGGUGAGUAAUGUCUGGGAAGCUGCCUGAUGGAGGGGGAUAACUACUGGAAACGGUAGCUAAUACCGCAUAAUGUCGCAAGACCAAAGAGGGGGACCUUCGGGCCUCUUGCCAUCGGAUGUGCCCAGAUGGGAUUAGCUUGUUGGUGGGGUAACGGCUCACCAAGGCGACGAUCCCUAGCUGGUCUGAGAGGAUGACCAGCCACACUGGGACUGAGACACGGUCCAGACUCCUACGGGAGGCAGCAGUGGGGAAUAUUGCACAAUGGGCGCAAGCCUGAUGCAGCCAUGCCGCGUGUAUGAAGAAGGCCUUCGGGUUGUAAAGUACUUUCAGCGGGGAGGAAGGGAGUAAAGUUAAUACCUUUGCUCAUUGACGUCACCCGCAGAAGAAGCACCGGCUAACUCCGUG